rnacentral:rRNA from 1 species
UGGGGAAUUUUGGACAAUGGGCGAAAGCCUGAUCCAGCAAUGCCGCGUGUGUGAAGAAGGCCUUCGGGUUGUAAAGCACUUUUGUCCGGAAAGAAAUGGCUCUGGUUAAUACCUGGGGUCGAUGACGGUACCGGAAGAAUAAGGACCGGCUAACUACGUGCCAGCAGCCGCGGUAAUACGUAGGGUCCAAGCGUUAAUCGGAAUUACUGGGCGUAAAGCGUGCGCAGGCGGUUGUGCAAGACCGAUGUGAAAUCCCCGAGCUUAACUUGGGAAUUGCAUUGGUGACUGCACGGCUAGAGUGUGUCAGAGGGGGGUAGAACUCCACGUGUAGCAGUGAAAUGCGUAGAGAUGUGGAGGAAUACCGAUGGCGAAGGCAGCCCCCUGGGAUAACACUGACGCUCAUGCACGAAAGCGUGGGGAGCAAACAGG